GGAUGCCCCCAUGUUGGCUCGGAGAAGCCUCCAGGGCUGCUCUCUUUGGCUUCUCGAGCAUUUCUGUGCUGUCUCCCCCAUGUAUUCACCACGAUUCCUCCAUAACUACGGGAAGGUAUCUAUCGGAAAGACCCUCAGUGUUACAGGAAAGGGGUCCCGACCCAGACCCCAAGAGAGGAUUCUUGGAUUUCGUGGAAGAAAGAAUUCGGCCUGGACCUUGAUAGAUGGACGUUCAUUAAACAUUUGGAAACGGAAUGAGUGAAAGGAAUCUUAGCCCUGCCAUUUCCUCUGCACCACUGAGCAAGUUGUUUACCGAAUUGGAGCCUCUUUUCCCUCAUCUGUCAAGUGGAGAGAAGGAAGCCUCCAUCAUAGGCUGCUGUUAAGCUUUUGUGCAAUUCUCAGGGUAAACAGUCAAUCAAUGGAGAAAGGUGUAAUUAUGAGCCAUGGAACUGGCUCCGACACUGGAGAAUGCUCUGCUUGCCCAGCGGCUCCUCCUCCAUCAGGUCCCUGCAGCUCUCUGAAGGCACAAGAGGCAAGCUUGAGAGGAGCUGGAAAAUACGGCAAAAGAGAAUCACAAGGAGGCUCAACAAGGUGACCAGUGCCGGACAUGAGUCUGAACAGGGGAGCCAGUGCAUCCCACCCUGCCUAGGCCGCCCUGCGUGCCUUUGCUGGAAUUCUCACUGGCAUGGGUCCCUCCUUUUAUCAGACUUGUGUUGAUUCCAUCGUUAUCUUACGUUCCGGUCAUUUGCCUGUUAGCCCUAAGAUCUAGCUUCCACUUUCCCCUGACCCUGCUGUAUAUCCCUGUGUGGUUUCUGCAAAACGUUUGCGUUUCCCUGGGGAAGAUGCAUUUUCCAGGCAUGCUUGCCCUUUGGUUUCUGGUUAUGUUCGGCUGAUGGGAGGUGCUCAUAGCAGAUUGGAAGGCAGGCAGAAGGGAGAAAACAGGCUGUUUCUUCCCCCAAACCUCUCUCUGCUUUAGGAACUACCCCAGGCAGCUGCCCCAUCUCCUCUGGGUUCUACAUUCUCCUGGGCCACUCUUCCUUCUACGGUGCCCUCUCUUGGGUUCUGGAAGCCUUCCCCUUUGUCUGUAGCUAGGGCUGGUAGCAGCUGCUGUUAUUGCUAAUCUCUGGAUAGCCUCACCAUGUCCUUUGCCCUUUCUUCUCUUCCAGCACCUUUGGACCUAGUUCUCUACAUUAAAAUUCUUUUCUUAAAUCACCUGGUUGGGAUCUGCUUUCCUGAUUAGGGACUGAAGUUUCUUCUCAGAGAAACCUUCCCGCACCAUCCUGGGAAAAGUAGCUCCAGGCUCUUUUCAUCGUCUUAUCCCACUGGUACCCUUCUCAGCACUAACCGGUACCUGAAAUGGUGAGUUCGUGAAUUGCUUCCUGUUUACUGUCUUUCUCUCCCAGCGAGAAUGCAGACUCCUCAAUGGCGGACAUGUGGUCACCCUUAUAUCCCCAGCACCCAGCAGAGGGCUUGGUGCAUAGGAGGUGCUCAGUGAAAGUUUAUGUUCUGUCAUUAGAUGCCACUAAUCUAAUGAGUGGCCUUAGGUCACAGUUGCUUUCUGUCCCAAGUUCUCAUAUUCUCAUCCACCAGUAAGAGUUGGGCUUGAUGUUAAAUAUCUGGGAUUCUGUGACUUUGCUUUGCAAUUGCUAUUUUCUAACUCAGCCAAUUUGGAAACAACCCAAAAUUUCGAAUUUGCUUGUCCAGAGUUGUCAGCCUGGCUCACAAAUGUCAGAAAUCACUAACUCCUUAGAGUGCUCUGUUCGACUGGAAGGCCAUUUGUCCUGGAAAGCCAUUGCUCUAUAUUAAGUGUUCAAGUGUGUGUACUCAUUAGGAAGAAAUGGAACAGAGAAGCCAUCAUUCAGUUUCGGCAAAGACCUGACAACAUGGGCAGCUUGCACAAGCCAUUCCAAAUACCAGUAAAUACGUAAUUAAGGCGUCGGAGGCCAGCGAAAGUCAGCCAAGUUCAUUCUGAGCUGUCCUAGCAAAGCAUGGGAAAGGCUGGAGGCUUUGUGUUUUGAACUCCACGGCAGCCACAUGCUGAACAGUCAUUUUUGUGUGGACAUACCACAGCACUAGGAUUCUGUUGAAAGAGGCACUGGAUACUAAGUGUUUGGGCAGCUUCUCUCUCCCCACUGUCACUGCACUGCUCAGGGUCCCCUCACUUUUUGGUCCAGACCUUUCUCCCGUGUCCCACUGGCUUUUCUGCUUCCAGAAUACCCACUCCUCUGCCCCAUUCCCCUCAAUCCCUCCUCCACAGUGGACUUUCUCAAAUGCUUGGAGGACUGAAUCACCCACCCACUUCAUACACUUAAUAAGUUCCAUUGGCUUCCGGACAAUUUCCUGGCUCCUUGGCACUGCAUGCCAGGUUACUUAGGAUCGGUUCUCCAACAACCUCCGAUGCCUAACUUUAGCCAUCCCCCUUGGUGUGUGCUUUAUUUCAUUUGAUUUAAAUAUAAUUUUUUUUUACACUGGGUCUCACUUUUGUCUCCUAAACUGGGGUGCAGUGUUGUGAUCACAGCUUAUUGCAGCCUUGACUUCCAGGACUCAAGUGAUCCUCCCACCUCAGCCUCCCGAAUAGCUGGGACUACAGGCGCCUGGCUAAUUAAAAAAAAAAAAAAA
ensembl:lncRNA